GUGGCCAAGUUUUUAAGGGCGCACGGUGGAUGCCUUGGCACCAGGAACCGAUGAAGGACGUGGGAGGCCACGAUAGUCCCCGGGGAGUCGUCAACCAGGCUUUGAUCCGGGGGUUUCCGAAUGGGGAAACCCGGCAGUCGUCAUGGGCUGUCACCCAUACCUGAACACAUAGGGUAUGUGGAGGGAACGCGGGGAAGUGAAACAUCUCAGUACCCGCAGGAAGAGAAAACAACCGUGAUUCCGGGAGUAGUGGCGAGCGAAACUGGAUGAGGCCAAACCAUAUGCGUGUGAGACCCGGCAGGGGUUGCGUAUGUGGGGUUGUGGGAUUUCUCUUUCACGGUCUGCCGGCCGUGAGACGAGUCAGAAACCGUUGAUGUAGGCGAAGGACAUGCGAAAGGUCCGGCGUAGAGGGUAAGACCCCCGUAGUCGAAACGUCAACGGCUCGUUUGAGAAACACCCAAGUAGCACGGGGCCCGAGAAAUCCCGUGUGAAUCUGGCGGGACCACCCGCUAAGCCUAAAUAUUCCCUGGUGACCGAUAGCGGAUAGUACCGUGAGGGAAUGGUGAAAAGUACCGCGGGAGCGGAGUGAAAUAGUACCUGAAACCGUGUGCCUACAAGCCGUGGGAGCGUCGCGCAUUGAGUUUACUCAGUGCGUCGUGACUGCGUGCCUUUUGAAGAAUGAGCCUGCGAGUUUGCGGUGUGUUGCGAGGUUAACCCGUGUGGGGAAGCCGUAGCGAAAGCGAGUCCGAAUAGGGCGAUUUAGUAGCGCGCUCAAGACCCGAAGCGGAGUGAUCUAGCCAUGGGCAGGUUGAAGCGGCUGUAAGAGGUCGUGGAGGACCGAACCCACCAGGGUUGAAAACCUGGGGGAUGACCUGUGGUUAGGGGUGAAAGGCCAAUCAAACUCCGUGAUAGCUGGUUCUCCCCGAAAUGCAUUUAGGUGCAGCGUCGUGUGUUUCUUGCCGGAGGUAGAGCACUGGAUAGGCGAUGGGCCCUACCGGGUUACUGACCUUAGCCAAACUCCGAAUGCCGGUAAGUGAGAGCGCGGCAGUGAGACUGUGGGGGAUAAGCUCCAUGGUCGAGAGGGAAACAGCCCAGAGCAUCGACUAAGGCCCCUAAGCGUACGCUAAGUGGGAAAGGAUGUGGAGUCGCAGAGACAACCAGGAGGUUGGCUUAGAAGCAGCCACCCUUGAAAGAGUGCGUAAUAGCUCACUGGUCUAGUGAUUCCGCGCCGACAAUGUAGCGGGGCUCAAGCGUACCGCCGAAGUCGUGUCAUUGCAGCAAUACGCCCAACGGCGGCUGUGAUGGGUAGGGGAGCGUCGUGUGCCGGGUGAAGCCGCGCCGGAAGGCAGUGGUGGACGGUUCACGAGUGAGAAUGCAGGCAUGAGUAGCGAUACACACGUGAGAAACGUGUGCGCCGAUUGACUAAGGGUUCCUGGGUCAAGCUGAUCUGCCCAGGGUAAGUCGGGACCUAAGGCGAGGCCGACAGGCGUAGUCGAUGGAUAACCGGUUGAUAUUCCGGUACCCGCUGUGAAGCGUCAAACAUUGAACCAGGCGAUGCUAAGUCCGUGAAGCCGCCCCGGAGCCUUCGGGCAAAGGGGAGUGGUGGAGCCGACGGACCAGACCUGCAGUAGGUGAGUGAUGGGGUGACGCAGGAAGGUAGUCCAUCCCGGGCGGUGGUUGUCCCGGGGUAAGGGUGUAGG
rnacentral:rRNA from 1 species